GGAUAAUUUAACAGCACCUUCCCCUCUCAAGUAUUUCUUUUCUUGAAUAGAUUAUUAGACAGCAAGGGUUGAGGAUACAAACCUUGAAUCAUGAAAGCAUGUGUACAUGCUGAGGAGGUAUUACAAUGAAUUAUAAGCACUGGUAAUAGUUCAGAAUCCAAAGGGCUGGUGACCUUUGCUUUUAAAAACAUGCCCUAAAUGUUAUCAUUCUACAGCACCGUCUUCUCUGCUCUAUCUCCUAAAUGCUUUUGGACACACAGACCAUGGGAUUAAUUAUAUACUGCAAGCAACAAUUCAUGAAUAUUUAACACCCUCAUUUAUACUUAAUGAAUAAAUUUGCAUUUUGACAGUGUUAUUUAAUGCGGUUUAAGGAAAAACUGCUCAUUACCUUUCAAUUUUGUAGAUUAGGAGAAUGUAAUUGGAAUGAUAAGGUAGGAGAGAGGCUGCAUGAUUGUUUCACACGCGCCACGGGCUGGCCGUCUGCCUGGCGCUCACCACCAUGUGCACCAGCUUGUUGCUCAUGUACGGCGGCAUCGGCAUCGGCGGGGGCCGCCCGGAGCCGCGGCGGCGGCAGGGGGGGGGGGGGGGGGGGGGGGGGGGGGGGGGGGGGGGGGGGGGGGGGGGGGGGGGGGGGGGGGGGGGGGGGGGGGGGGGGGGGGGGGGGGGGGGGGGGGGGGGGGGGGGGGGGGGGGGGGGGGGGGGGGGGGGGGGGGGGGGGGGGGGGGGGGGGGGGGGGGGGGGGGGGGGGGGGGGGGGGGGGGGGGGGGGGGGGGGGGGGGGGGGGGGGGGGGGGGGGGGGGGGGGGGGGGGGGGGGGGGGGGGGGGGGGGGGGGGGGGGGGCGCCGGAGCGCGGCCAGCGCCCCCCGGCUCUGCCCGUCGGGGCCGGCCUCCUGGAGGGCUACAUCAGCGUCCUGGAGCACAAGGUGAGCGCCGGCCGCGGGACCCCCUCCCGGCCCCCGGGGCAGCCGGGACCCCGCGCUGCCCCCGCUCCCUCGGGGGGCAGCGAUCC
rnacentral:lncRNA from 1 species